rnacentral:rRNA from 1 species
AUUGAACGCUGGCGGCAGGCCUAACACAUGCAAGUCGAGCGGAUGAAGGGAGCUUGCUCCUGGAUUCAGCGGCGGACGGGUGAGUAAUGCCUAGGAAUCUGCCUGGUAGUGGGGGAUAACGUCCGGAAACGGGCGCCAAUACCGCAUACGUCCUGAGGGAGAAAGUGGGGGAUCUUCGGACCUCACGCUAUCAGAUGAGCCUAGGUCGGAUUAGCUAGUUGGUGGGGUAAAGGCCUACCAAGGCGACGAUCCGUAACUGGUCUGAGAGGAUGAUCAGUCACACUGGAACUGAGACACGGUCCAGACUCCUACGGGAGGCAGCAGUGGGGAAUAUUGGACAAUGGGCGAAAGCCUGAUCCAGCCAUGCCGCGUGUGUGAAGAAGGUCUUCGGAUUUUAAAGCACUUUAAGUUGGGAGGAAGGGCAGUAAGUUAAUACCUUGCUGUUUUGACGUUACCAACAGAAUAAGCACCAGCUAACUUCGUG